rnacentral:rRNA from 1 species
GACAGAGGAUGCAAGCGUUAUCCGGAAUGAUUGGGCGUAAAGCGUCUGUAGGUGGCUUUUUAAGUCUGCCGUGAAAUCCCAGGGCUUAACCCUGGACAGGCGGUGGAAACUACCAAGCUGGAGUACGGUAGGGGCAGGGGGAAUUUCCGGUGGAGCGGUGAAAUGCGUAGAGAUCGGAAAGAACACCAACGGCGAAAGCACUCUGCUGGGCCGACACUGACACUGAGAGACGAAAGCUAGGGGAGCGAAUGGG